AGCGGAUUGGUGGGCGGGCGUAUGGCGACCAGGCCUGGACCGCCACGAGGCUGGGUGGCGCCGUGGGGUCGCUCUUCUUGGCGCCCCAAGUCACCAAAGCUGAAAGGGGAGGUGAGGGCUCUCAGGGACCAACCCUUGUUCUCGCUGAUGGCGGUGGGCGAGCCCACCUAACAGGGAUCCGCCGCCGGGGUGAGGCGAGGAGCAGGCUUUCCAGGGCCUGGAGGUAGAGGGCCCAGACCCUGAGGAGAGGGGCUCACUGCCCCGCUGCAGAGGAGCGGCCCCAGAUGGAUAAGGAGUUGAGGUCGCGGGGGUGCUGAGCCCUGCCGAAGUGGAAGUUACUGGCUACCAGAACCUGAAAACCCCAAAUCACUUGGAUGAGUGAGGAUCAGAGCUGAAACUCCACCACAGAUCAGCAGUGGGACCUGAGAGGUGGCAGCAAUGUGGCCGAUGUUUGAAAGGCAGCUGGGUAGCCUGACCACAGGGACCCGAGGAACGGGACUGGUGAGAAAGGCACACUUUCCGCACCGAAGAUGCGUUACCGGAUUCAGGCCGUUUUUGUGCUCCGACACCAGGGCAGCUUCGCCUCCAGGCCCUUGCGCAAACAGCCCGGGACCUCUCCAGCCAAGCUGCACCCCGCCCCGCCACCAGACUAGCUGCGCCAAAAGGCUGGCGAUGCCCCGACGUGACCAAGCCCACACCACCAACCCUGGUAGCCCGUUGGGCACCUCCCAAGACUCCCGUACCUCCUCUGCCUGCCUUCCAAGCACCGGUGACUCGUGGGGAACCGCCGGCCGGCUCUUAGAGGUCGGCUCUGGGGCGUGCGGGCAGGUGCGCACGCUCUUUGCUGCGGUCUCCGGCCCCGCAAGCGCCCGGAGACGGGCGUUGGCGGCCAGGACCGGCGCGCAGCCGCGGGGGGCACUGGCGCCGAAGUCCGGCGCCUCCAAAUUGACAGCGACGGGACCUGGGCUCUAGGCUCCGAGUGUCUUAAGCGGCGCGCGCGUGUGCGCGCAACUUUCCCCGGGAGCCGGCAGUCUCCGGAGUUGUCGCCCAAUCCCAGCCUGGUUAGUAUUCGCACAUUGCAACAGUGUCGCUACCGCCGGGCGGCUCUGCUUUCUGAAAGUUGGCGCGAGCACCUCCGAACCACGUUUCGGGCACCCGCCAAGGCCAACUGGUUUGAGACUACUUACUCUAGGAGGGAAAAAAGCACGUAAAACAAAGUACUUACCCGUGCCUUCUGGGUGUGCAGCUCGAAACCUGGGGUGCUCCCGGAAUUCAGUCGUGCAUCCUGGACACCAGCUCGGAGACCUCAGGCUGUCUCCAGAGGGGCGCGAGAAGCGCCCCGCCGCCCCUCUGGCCAACAGGCCUUUGGCCACCCGGGCGCCCGCCAGCGCCCCGGGGGAGAUUCGCGGAGCUCUUCCUAGCUCGCCCUGCGCCCCCGCCUCCAGGGCUAACUAGCUGAGCCCGCUCUCUUCCCGCCUUCCUUCUAACCUGCCUUUGCUUCUCCCUCCCUUCCUCCCAUCGCUCCAGCACCGACCCCAGACUCCCCAGUUUAGCGGUUGGUCACCAACCUGGGUCAAAGAAAACAAGGAGAAUCUGGGGCGCGUCCUCCAUUAGUGACGCCGGAUGGGGAUGGGUCCCCUUUUGGAAGGAGACUCCGGAGAUGGGUCGCGGCGGGUGGGCUUCUUCGGCUUGCAGCGGCGCCGUCGCUGCUUCUUCUCCUUUGGCUGCUCAGACUCCUCGGGGUCCCUCGGAUCCUUGUCCUCGGGCUCGGGCUCCUCCCCUUGUCUGGGGCUCUCAGACUCCCGAGUGCUGGGCUGCGUGCGACUCGGGGAGGCGUCGGGGCUCUGCAACCUCAGGGCGUUGAGACGCUCAGUGAGAGACUGGUCGAAGGUGCGGCGCUUGGCCACCACGGGGCCGCGCUCGUCCUCGGGCUCGGUCUCGGGCUCAGUGGUGGGGGCGGUCUCAGGGUCGCUCUGGAAGUCGGUCUCCGACUCGAUUUCAGACUCGGUCUCGGAUUCGUAGUCGAACUCUUCCUCGUACUCCAGGCACUCGGGGAGGGAGAGCUCGAGGUCUGCCUCCUCGUGCUCGUGGUCGGAUUCGGGGGGCUCGGGGAAUACCUGGGCGGCGGAGCGGUGGUGGGCGUUAAGGAAGCUCCGGCGCUGGGCAGCCGCGCGCUGCUGGGCGCGGGCGCUGGAGGUGGCGAGGGCGCGAAGGAGAGCAAUGGAGCAGGAGAGCCAGAGGAGUGCGGUGGCUGCCCGGCGGCCUAGGGGUGGGCACAGAUCGUUGUAACUGUGGCGAGCUCGGCGCCCUUGCUGAGCUCGGGAUCUGCGAUCCAUCCUCACACACACUCGGCGAAUCCGACCCACCCUCUGGCUCUGCAGAGAGCAGCUCCGAAGAGCAUCGGCUGCUAGAGCCGGAAAAGGUGCUCCUCGCGAGGUUAAGAAGCUGGGUCCGGAGGUCCCAGCUCCACCUCGGCGCGAGGAGAAAAAGGAAGCACCUACCUUCUUGACCACUCAACUUUCUAAAGCUCCGCGCCUCUAUUUGCCUCUCUGGGCAAAAAGAAGGGAUGGGAAAAGGGGAGAAAAAGUCUAUCUCCUCCCAGGCUCCUCUCUCUAAGUCUUAGACUCUGCAGCCUAAGACUCGGGGAGAGGUGCCUCCGCUGGUCCUCUCGCCUGGGAGAGGAAAGAGGAGACUGAGGCGAAGACAAAUGGGGCGGAGAGGUUCUGCAAAGUUGCGCGCCCGGACUUCUGCCGGGCAUGUGCAGUAGGGAGGCGGGGGCGGCUCCGCGUGAGUUGCGCAGUGGCGCCGAGCCCGAGGCGUAGACCCUAAUGGGCCGGCAGGUGGCAGGAGGGAACCUUGUUUGAAAGGAUUUGGGCGAUGGGAGCGGCUGGGGGCCUGGCGGGUGCCAAGGAGCGAGCGAGCGAGCUAGCUACAGGUUAGAGUGCUUGCGCAGCUAGGCAUGGGUUCUCCGUGGGGUCCGUACCGCUCCCCAGCUUCUCCAGGGUUAUCGAUAAGUUGAACAAAGCCCGAAGCAGCUAAAAACCAGACCGCAAAAUUGCGGAUAUUCCGGAGGAAUGAGCUUCUGUACGUCAGUAUUAACGGUGCGGUUCCGGGCAUUUUCCAGGGGCUCAAUAGUGUGAGCAUGGUAACCUCAGGCAAUCAUUAAUUAAUCGUGAGAUCACCUUUGGCAGACCUGGUACAGUGACCGUAAUCUGAGCAGUUUCCAAUCCCCCCAACCACCAAUGCGGUCUCAAGAGACUAAUUAGUUACCUAAUGGAUAGAUGAGCAUCUUCCCUAAGAAGGACCCCCACAGACAGACGGAGUGAUGGUUUACACGUCCCCAAGCCCGUUGGUGGACCACCCUGAGCUCUAGCUGAGAACAUGUGCCGAAAGUCUAAUUAGCUGGAACCACUAGUUAAUAUCUGUGCUCUUCAGUAGGUGCAGCCAAUUGUCUGCCCUUGGGGGGCGCUGCAGGGCGAUCAGCUAUCAAGGAAACCGCUGGGUACCACUCAAAGCUCUUUUCAUAGAUAGGUUUUCAACGAAGUGAGUUCAUUCAACAAGUGAGUUCAUUCAACAAAUGUUGAGUGCCUAGCACAUGCCAAGCUCUGUUCUAGGUGCUGAAGAUAGAGUAGGAAGAAGAAAAGGAAAGAAAAGAAAAUCUUACAUCAAGGAAAGGAUACUUAGGAUUAAUUUGCUGUUACUCAGAGCAUUAAACCACUCAGGACUCCCUCCUUACCCACCAACAUUGUUUAACCCGGCGUGCAUUCUAGUGAGAAAAUUAUUGGAUCAACCAGAGCAUUAGGGCUAAGGGACCCCUCGACACCCUAGGUCAUGUCGUUGAACCCCAAAGGAAAUGAGCCCAUCUCUUUCUCAGCCCUGGAGAACCAAAUGAGCUCCAUGUCCUCCUGGAGGGGGAUCCGUGGAGUGGUCGUUGCUCAGGCAGGAUGGUGCUUCGGAAGCUCUGGGGUUCCACCUGUAACCUGACUGCUGCUUCUGGGUUGUGCAUGCCCUCCCCGUUAAAAUAUGCAGCAUCACUUUUGCCCUUGUGACAGGUCCACCGGUGGUAUAACUCAGGGCAAAACCAUCUUCCUAGAAUCUGUGGAAGCAACAACAAGGCAUUACAGGUGCGACAGGUGGUUUUUCUUGUCUUUGAGUCAACAUGGGGGACACUUGAAGAGUCCAUGAGGUAAUUCUGCCUUCCCUUCUGAGGUGGUCCACCAGGUGUCCCCUCCUGGCACUGCUUCCUGGUGCCGAAGUGUCCUGCACCCACAGCUAUUCCUCAGUGUGGUGUGACUCACCCUUAUCCCUUGCGCACCAUGCCUGCCUUAGAGCUGCUGAACCCAGAGUUAAGACCUUAGUGAGAUCCUAGCGACUGUUUUGACAUGUGGAGGUUUUGUUUCUGCAUCUUCGCUGGGGAUGGUCUUGAAUGCUCCUGCCCUGUCUUCUUGGCUGUGUCUAUCUUGCAUCUUGUUUUCUUCGAGUUAGUUUGUAGCAUUAAAAUACUGAUUGGUGUAAUAAAGUGGGAUUGAUU